AUUGAACGCUGGCGGCAGGCUUAACACAUGCAAGUCGAACGAGUGGCGGACGGGUGAGUAAUGCUUGGGAAUCUCGCUUAUGGAGGGGGUUAACUACGGGAAACUGUAGCUAAUACCGCGUACCUUAGGAUGAGCCCUAGUGGCUCUAGGUAGUUGGUAAGGUAAAGGCUCACCAAGCCCACGAUCUCUAGCUGGUCUGAGAGGAUGACCAGCCACACGGGAACGGAGACACGGCCCAGACUCCUACGGGAGGCAGCAGGGGGGAAUAUUGCGCAAUGGGGGAAACCUGACGCAGCCAUGCCGCGUGAAUGAAGAAGGCCUUCGGAUUGUAAAGUUCUUUCGGUAGCGAAGCGUUAUCUAAAGAGGAAGCACCGACUAACUCCGUGCCAGCAGCCGCGGUAAUAC
rnacentral:rRNA from 1 species